ensembl:lncRNA
CUGUAACUUAUGCAUAAGUACUCCUCCAUGCAUCAUAAAUUCUGUUGACCAUGAUAUGCCAAAAAUAAGUUUUUUUAAAAAACAAAGUCCGUGAAUGUUUUUGGCUCUUGCAUUUUCACGCUGAUGUAUCUCUAUAUGUGCUUUAAGGUUAACUCUUUUUGCUUGGGAUUGUUUGGACAAGUGCUUUGUUGGAUUGAAACUCUACCAUUUAUUGAAGAGGAUUUUUCAAGGAAAAGGCAAUGAAGACCACUUCCAAACCAUUCAUCACAGAGCUUUUGCAUGGGCUUCAUAUGCUGCCGUUGUCACUCUGGAAUUGCUGGAUCAGCUUGAAAAAAAUGAAGCGUGUAGAGGUCCUCGUAACAGACAGAAAAGGAGGGGUUUGUGGGAUGAGGCGCAGGCAUGAAAGACACUGGUGGGAGACAAAAACGACAACUGGAUUACAGCUGCCUGCUGGGCAAAUUGCUGGCUGAAAGGACGUCGCUGCAUAUACAGAUGCCUCAGCAUCUACAGUCGCUGUAUGAAGGCUGCUUACCCCAGCUUCCGUUCUGCACAGCUACAAAGGGAGCAGAAUGGCAAAAGGAGCACAGUCCCAUGCUCCCAAACACACCUCCUAAACACCCAUGGGCAGCAGCGCCAGGGAGCAUCAAGUUGUUCCCAGGAAGCAGUCAUGGCUCUGGGUUGUUAGUGACUGCUGCACGUUGGCUUGGUGGUCAUUUGGCAUUGGCGGCCCGUGGCACUGAGUGCCACAGCACUGCGCAGCUGAGUGUUGGAAGUCCCCACUGGCAAUAUCAUGCUCUCUGCUCCAUCUAUGGAGAUGGAUGAGUCCAAGUGGAUCAGCACGUCCUCAGGCACAAAAUCUUUGCAUGAGCAAUGCUAAGGAUGGAGGCUGAAAGAAGAUAGAAACACCCAUCUCUGUUUGAAAGGCAGAACUUCUAGUGAAGCCAAGCAAAAUCUCAUAACCCCAGGGAAACCCUAGAGCCUCCUUGCAGCUCAGCUGACAUCCAGAUAUUUAUGGGCCGUGUAAGAAGAUUCAGGCCACUUUAUCUGCAUCCGCUUUCCUAUUUCACCCUUUCUUUGUGGCUGCUCAGCUUUGAUGGCAAUAUGCUGUUAAACUGCCACUCACUCAGCCUUUUUUUGUGUGCCUCCUUGCCUGGCUUCCAGUCAGUGGUCUUUUCCAUAUCCUACUCCUAUUCCUCCUGCGGAACUGGGACCAUCUCAUGCUGUCCAAAUCCGAGCACUGGGCUGCUAAUAGACACCGCUGAUGUACAAUGGAAGAGCUUCUCCAUAACUCCCUAUCACUAAUCAGUGAGCAUGUUUGACAUCCCGGCAGUGCGGUGCUUCACAACAGCUAUCGAUAGUGCUUCCCCGUGCUGAAGGAAAAUGGGAACCUGCAACACUGGCAUUACAUCACAGGCAGUGGCUGGUUAUUGAUGUCAUCAUUCCUGUCACUUGCCUGAUAUAUACUGCCUGCAGUGACUUACCUCCGAUCUAUAGAGGCUGGCUCCUGGAGGUCUGCCUUCCAGUUAGCAGCGCCGGCGAGCAGCAGCACCUGUGUCUCCACGCCAGACAGCUGGCACGCUCCAUGCAUGCCACCGCGCACCAUCUGUGCCACACAUCACGUGCCAGUUACGUGACUGGGGAGAGUCAGGAGGAAGAAAAAUAUUUGCUUCCAUGAAUCCUCCUACUGAGUAAAGUUCUUGUAGCAGAAGUUUUCCAGUUCCUGAGGAUGCUGCUGACUGCCUUUCCUUUCUUGCUUAAGUCUCCACAGUGCUGAAAAUGAAGUCCAAGAUGUGUGUUCUGCACGUUUGCCAUUGCAACUCGAGGAGACAGAGCUCAGAUGAAGUUCCAGCUAGGCAAGAGACCAAAGUUCACCCUACCCACAGCACUGCAGAUUGCUGCACAGCCCCAUCUUUGUGCACUGGAGAAGCAAAGCACGCGAGGAGGGAGCGCGCUCCCAGCUGCCAGGGGCUGACAACCGAAAGGUGCAAUAUGGGACAAAGCAGAGCACAGAGAGUGAUGUGGGAACGUUAACACUUGUAAGACCCUUCUUUGCAGCUCUGCUGGUUUGCCUUACAUGCUAACAGAUGUGCAGGAAUGUCCUCGGCUCGCCAUCGCUUUUCUCUCCAGCAGAAUAUGACUGACAACAGAACACCAGGGAACAGCUGGGUCGAAACGCAUAAUAUUUUCCUGCUAGAGAAGGAUGCUGAUUAGGCUGCGGAGUACCUAAUUGGGUCUUGGCCUUGAAUGAUGGAAAACUAAAGCCAGGAGGAGCACACCAAUGAGCAGCACCAUGUUACCAGCAGAGGUUCGGUGGCUGGAGGAGCGGAACAUUAGCACAUCCCUAAGGCCAGGAAGUUCAUAUGAAGUUUCUGAACCUCCACUUCGGCCCUUAGGGAGAAACAGCCCGGAAAUAAGAUGCGGACAAUGGCAGUUCCAACCCAACCCAUGACCUCUGCCUUGAAACAUGGUGGGUCAGCCAGGAGGUGAGGAGGUGGGGUAAAGCAGAUGAGCUGGAUGAGGAAUACGGUGACAAACUAACUGGUGGGAAGAAGUUGCAGAACAGUGGAGAUCCCACCGCCAUUCAGCCAUGAUGGAGGACGUGUUUUCAGACACAGCCCACUCCUCCUGCCAAUUUGCUGGGGUUGCAGAAGAAAGAGGAGGAAGAGGAGAAGGAGGAGUGGCCAGUGGUGGUGGUUGCUCUGGCUGCAGCAGCUGUGGAGGCCCUGCUAAUACAGUAACUUCCUUAUCUCAGGAAACCCAAGUGGCUCCAACAAGAGAAACAGAGUAGGACAAUCCAGGAGAAGACAGCUGACUGCAGUGUUUACUAGACUGCGGAAUAGACAACUUACAUUGUUAAAAUUGAUCAGAACAUGUUCCACUGGAACUAAGCAGAUAAGAAUUACUUCAUUCUUUUUUGCCCCUGAGCACCCUAGGAGACCUGUGUUGGAUCUGGGCUUUGUCUGCUUGAAAAAGUGGAAGGGUUGACCUGCUGAAGGGAGAGCCACCAAAGCGCUCCAACAUUACUAUGGUCUUAUAAUGCCUGAGACAGAUCACAAGAUUAACUCUUAUAAUCAACAACAAGAUCAUCAAUUUGUACACUAUAUAAAUUAAAGUGCAUGCAUAUAAAUCUGCAACCUUGAAUAAUACUGUCACAGCUUCUGCUUUGUUUGUUUUGUGCAGCUUCUUGCUUUGACCAUUUCUUGCUUUGACCAUGAAUAUGCCUGCUGGGUCUGGUGCAUGAAAUCCCUUCCAAGUCCUCCCUUUUGCUUCACGAUGAUGCAGAAGGUGACUCUUCAGUAAGUAACACAAAAUGAUUUUAGACUUGUAUAAAUAAUAUACACGUUCUGUCUCCCUUUGAUUGAAUGAUGAAUAGCAUUUAGAGGGAUUGAUUUGCCGGCAGGAGCACUCGGCGGUGGCUGGAACAGCUUGUUCUGCCCUUGGAUCUCCCAAAUGAGUUCCGCAUCUCCCGCAGCUUGGUCUUCUGGUGCUCCUCCAGCACUGCACAAGUGCUUGGCCUUGGCUUGGUCACCUUGCCCCAACACACCCGUGUCUCAUGUCCCUGCCUGCCCAAAACGCCUUGCACGGCAGCUCGAUCUGCUGCUCAGAUGGCACCCUCUUUAUUUUCUUUGAUAUUUAACAGAAAAUAAUUCUGCAGUGAGCUUUAUUUAAGCAGCAGGAUAGAUUAAAAAAUGAAAUAUGUUUAGCAAGAUUUGGGGGAAAGGCUGGAGUAAUUAAUUUUCAAUAAUACCUGGCAUUUCUAGAACUCCUUUCAUCCCGAGAUCACCAAACAGUUUACAGACAUUAAUUAAUUAAAGCAUUAUGAUGCCCCAGUGUGGGGCCAUUGCCUGCAUGUCUGACUCAGACAAACUCUCCCCAAAUCCCCGGACGGGCAAGCGCUGUGCACUGCGGUGUCUGCACCAGAACUAUACCCAGGAGUAAAUACCGCUCAGCUUUCCUAAGGUUUGCACUCUGUGGCCCUACGUAAAUAUUUUCCAGUGAGUUUGAUUAUUUGUCUUUUAUUCUCUAUCAGGAAAGCCCCAAAUAUCUCAGUAAUAAAAUUUCCAGCGUGUGUGUGUGCAGGAGGACAGUUCUGAUGGUUAUUUUUUUGAUUCAGCUUCACAUUAAAACAUCUCUGCUCUUGAAACUCCCAUUGCAGGCUCAGAGCUGGACAUGUAUUUUAAGGUUUGAUUUUGGAGUGAGCUUGCUGGGCAUUUUUGACAGCACAGUAAAUUCCAUGGGAAGAGAAGAGGUGUUCAAUGUUCACCCAGAGGGAUGCGCAUAGCGUCACACUCCUGGAAAUCACCCUGAAGUACAAGUUCAGUGAAAUCUUAUGAAAGCUGUAGAUUAUACAAACUUUCAUCACUCCAAUGAUUUGAUUCAUGAACGCAUAAAUAGAUAGAUAGAUAGAUCCAUCAAGGAAAUCCCAAGGGAACAAUGCAAUGGUGUUUGUGAUUGGAAAAAUAUUAUAAAAGAGCUCACGUAGAGCCAAUAGUUAGGCAGUUUUGUAGCGCCAAGAUAAAUAGAGAAGAAAUAGCAUUUCAUGAUCACAUUUUUAAAGGAUGUUGGAAGUUACCAAAGCAGGGGAAAUCCUGUAGGGAUUGCCUAUACUCAGGUGUGUUCCCUUGUGGUUCUGCCACUGGCCGGCCACCUGUGGCCCCAGUGCUGCCCCAGGACUAUGGAAUAAUGAGAUGGCACUUCGUACAUGGGCAAUGCUCUCGUAUGAAGGGUUUGAUCUCAUCUCUCAGCCAUUCAGACACUGGAUGAUGUUCCCAUUUGCCAUAAGACCUUCCAGUUCAGCUGGGAUAUUCAGCAGCUGUCUCCUGGAUCAGUCCUGAAGGAUGCAUUUGUAACAGAAGAAUGGAAAAAAUGAACUGAUUUUUUGUUGUCCACUUUCCUCCUGGAUUGGCUAUUUUCAUAUAAACCAAAUGAAAAUUGAUAGCAGUAUGGAAGUCCCUUUCACUCCAGGUUACCAGGCUAGCAUCUAGCCAGAGGUUGGGCUGGUUAAGUCUGCCGCUUCUAAUUUUUUAUUUAUUCCAACUUUGUAUUUAUUCCAACUCAACACUGGGGUGAAAAAAAAAAAAAGAGGCCACUCAUUGGCAGAGACAGGAAUUGGAGGAAAUGCUAGGCAAGUGCUACAGCACCUUGGUGUCCCAGCAGCUCCCACUGGGAGGGCAUCACCCAGUGUGCUCGGCAUGGAGCCACAUGGAAGUGUGUGGAUAUAGAAGGGCCCAUGUGUGCUAGGGAAGGUGCCGUUCCAAGCAGGAAGCUCCAGCGGAUGGUGGGACACUGCUGGCUUGUUGACUGUGUGGAAAGCGUAUCACUGGGGAGCACCACGACGAGGAGGUAUGAGCAAAAAUUCUUAAAUAAACACAAGUGACAUUUGGCAUAUAAAUAAGAUAGGGAAUACUCUUGCACAAGCAGCACAGGUCAACAGCUAUCUUUUAUCUCCCAGAGUAAAAUAGGUUGCUUUAGAAAUAUAAAAGCACAAAGUAGUUGUGGAAGGGGUGGUGGAAGGCCCCGGCUGGUGCUGCUGCGGGCACUGGUGCUGCCCUUGAUGGCACAGCUCGGCCCCUGGCUGGGCGCCUCUGCAACUUCCCUGCUUGAUUUUUUUCCUUGCAUCUGAUUAAUGCAUAACAAGUCCCUUCAGAGAGUAAAUACUGAUCUGAAAUAGCACAGUAAACAAAUAACACGGGAACAGGCUUCGAGUGUCUGUGUACAUACGUCUAUAAAAUGCAUCGCAUACGCACGCGUGCCCACGUUGUUAUUGUGUAGGUUAGCUAAGGGGAUUUACCUCCUUUUUAAUAUUUUUGAAGACUGCUUUAUGAUCCUGUUGACCCGCUAUUAGCAAAAGCUUAGCUUUCAACAAAGGUAAUUAAAUUAUAAAAUCACUGCUGCAAUCAUCAAACUACUCAUAAAACAAGAAAUGAAAAAAAAAAAAAAUACCCUGAAAUAAAAAUCUUGCAGGCUUCUCCUCGUGUAAUAUUGCUCCCUGAUGUUAAUUACAUUUAAAUGGGAGAGUACUAUUUUGGUAUCAUUCAUACGCCUCCAAAAGUACUUUCCAGUUUAUCAUACCUGUCAACCCCAGUGCAUCACAGGCUAAUACUUUAUUAAGAAAAAAAUCAUUAGGGAGCUGCUGAUCCCAUUUAAGUACAUUGGGCAGAAUGUAAGACUAAUUAAAAAGCAUAUUUUUACAUUAUUAAUUUCUGAGUUUCACACUUAAUGAAUGUGAAAUGACAGGGCUACUAUUUUUAUAUUCAGGCUCUCUGGGCUCUUCAGCCAGGGGAAUUAAAUUCUGGGGAUUUUUGCAAAGAUGCUUCUUGGGAGAUUUGUUUUCAAGAACAGCUAAGCUUUUUUAGCUAUGCCUUUUUCUGGGAAAUUAUACCAAAGCAUAUUACAGCCACUUAAAAAGAGUGGUUAAAUAGAUGUUGUGUUGGGUUGUUUUUUUUUUUUUUUUUUUUUUCCAUCGUGCUGCUAUAAAAGUAUUUUAGAUGAGGUAUAAAAUAUGGUUUUUAAAUGAUAUUAUGAUUUGCAAACACUAAAAAAUAAUUGCGGUGGAGUUGAGAGAGAGCAAAAACAUCUAAUCUUUAUUGUGUAAGACAAUGUGAUAAAAUAUUUUACAGCCAAAAGCUCAUUUUGCAUCUGGAAAAUUGUGCAAACUGAUGGGGGGAAAAAAUCUCAUUAAAACUAAAGGUUAUUUUUAAUAUUCCUCAAACAAAGCAACGCAUUAUAACCGCGUUUCUCCUCCGCGUAUUUAUUAAAUCAGACAAUUGUACGAAUGUCUGACGCUCUAUUUAAAUAAAGACAUAAAACGGCAGAGGCUGUGUGAUCAGGCAGGCUGAGCUGGAUUUAUACCGGCUUUUAGAGACCACCGGAGUCAAAGCACAGCACCGGUGUUGGAGGGGUUUGCUUGUUUGUGCUGAGCAGUCGCAGCAUUACGGUUGUUAUUAAGCAGGAGGGGUUGCGGUAGUGGAACCUGUGCGGGGUGAGGUUGGCACUGCCGUCCCUGCAAGCACGACACAGCACAGCUCACUUUUAUAGGGCUGUGCAAGGAGGAGUGGAGAAAAGCUUUUUUCCUCCCCCCCCCCCCCCCCCCUUCUUUUUUUUUUUUUCCUCUCUCCAAAUGUGCUUACAAUUACCUCUCUGUAUUUUUAUUGUCUUUUUACUAACCACAAAACUCACACUGGAGGCAAAGCUUAACGGCUGAGGCUUUCCUCAUGUAAAUAUUAGGAAAUUACAUUUGUACAAACUGCGCGGCUUUGUAAAGGGGGCUGGAGCCACUCCAACACAAAUUAAUCAGGAUAAAGUUGCUCUAUGUUCAACAUGACCAUAGUUUAUUUUCUUAAAGUAUUAAUUUGUCAACAGCUUUCCUGCCUCGCUGUGACUCAUAUGGAUGGCAUUGAGGGAAGACACAGAUGCAAUCUUGCUGCUAUACCUUGUGGCCUUAGGAAUGAGCUCUGGUUAAUCAAAACGUGAUUGUGUUUAAUUUCUCAAUAUAUGUUUCCAUACAAAAGUCGAACGGCUGAGAUAGGAAUGCAAACCAAUGUUUAAAUAUUGUCUUCCCUUAAAAAAAGAAGGAAAAAAAAGAGAAAAAAAAAAAAAAAGGAAAAGUGUGAAACUAUUUUAACUGUUUACUAAAUGCUUUGUGUUACUUUGUACUUUUAGGUCCUUCCCUCCUCUGCUGCCUCCCCCCUCAGACCCAAAUAAACAAAUAAGCGCUGCCAAGAGCUUUUCAGCUGGUGUCCUUUGCUGCCUUCCCUCCUCAGCCAUCCCCUGCGCUGAAAGCAAUGCUUUCCAGCACGUCUCUUCUCAUUCUUCUGCCUUUGCUCGCUGGUUGUUAUAUCACACUAUUUUUAAUUAUAUCUUGAUUUUCGUAACAUUAUUGUAUGUUGUUAUGUUUCUAGAAUGCAAACGUGAGCGUAAUGGGAUCUAUUUUUCAGAGUUGCCAAAACAAAUUAAGGAAAACGCUCGGCUCUUCCUUUGCCAAAUGUUUUAGUGCUUUUCCGUGAAAGCAAAUCUUAUUUCUAACUGUAUAUUAAGCCUUAAGUAAAUAAUGCAGUCUGUCAGAAGCAAAUUCUAUUGUAAAAGCAGUAACUGUUCCCAGGCUUUGCCUGUGAUGCCCGCACGCUGCUCUGCCCGGGAAGGACUGGGCUAGCAAUGAAUUACUGCUCAUUUCAAUCUGCCUUUCACAGAAACGUCUAACUUUUUUGUUUACACUGGACCCAGAUCCCAUAAAUAUGGAGUAUCUGUUGCGGCCGCUCCACGUCUGCCCAGCGAUUACUUCUGGCGUGUUUGGGAAACAAGACGUCCUUUCUUAACAAAAGACUCAAUCUACAAAGGCCGCAAAACAAAAAUUGAUUAAAGUUGAACCGUAGUAUGAAAGUUUACUUCGGUGUAUCAAAUAGCCCGCUGAACUCCAUGAUUUUGACUAGAGGUGACAGCUGAAAAGCACCAGAAACCCUUGGAAUUUCAGAUCUAUAUAUUACUAUAAAGGAAGAAAAUAAAGUUCCGCUAGUAGAAGACCUUGGAAGGGUGUGUGUCCUGAACAUUUUCCAUUGUGGAGAAACGCAACAAAUAACAAAGUGCAGUCAAAGCUAGCCCUGCUCCGUGAUGAAUUUCAAGGAGCGUGACCAAUAAUCUUCUACUUAUCUUAAAAACCCUAUGGAAGUACUAGACCAGUUCCAACAGAAGUGAGAGCAAACUGUGGGAAAAAAAAAACCCUCACAAAAAAGCCAUCUGUCUGAGAACAACCCGAGAAUCCUAAGUCCACCCAAGUAGUCACUGCGUGUUUUUCUGCACUGCUAAUGGAUUGCAUAUUGUUGAAAAUAUGAAUUACAGAAUAAAUCAGGAGAGAGUGACAAUUACGGGUCCGAUUCUGUUCUUGGCUGCGGUGGCAUUAUUGACCUAAUGUUGUUUUCUGCUAUUGUGGGGCACAUAGGAUAAUUAUCCAAUUUAAGAACAACUCCAGACCGAAGGAGUAAAUGGGAGCUGUCUGAAGGCAGGGACUGCCAGAGGAGCCAGGCUGACAGUCGGUGAGGUUCAGACCACUGUAGGCUGUGGAUUUUCCCAAAGCUUUAUACGCUGCUAUUAACUCUGCCACAUAUACUCCAUGGUAUGAAAUACAUGUCUUAAAUAU